rnacentral:rRNA from 1 species
AUUGAACGCUGGCGGCAGGCCUAACACAUGCAAGUCGAACGGAGUGGCGGACGGGUGAGGAAUGUCUGGGAAACUGCCUGAUGGCGGGGGAUAAGGUCCGGAAACGGGCGCUAAUACCGCAUACUAUCAGAUGAGCCUAGGUCGGAUUAGCUAGUUGGUGGGGUAAAGGCCUACCAGGGCGACGAUCCGUAACUGGUCUGAGAGGAUGAUCAGUCCACCUGGAACUGAGAACCGGUCCAGACUCCUACGGAAGGCAGCAGUGGGGAAUAUUGGAAAAUGGGCGAAAGCCUGCUCCAGCCAUGCCGCUUGUGGGAAGAAGGUCUUCGGAUUGUAAAGCACUUUAAGUUGGGAGGCGUUACCAACAGAAUAAGCACCGGCUAACUUCGUGCCAGCAGCCGCGGUAAUAC